AGAGUUUGAUCCUGGCUCAGGACGAACGUUGGCGGUGCGCUUAAUGCAUGCAAGUCGAGGGAGAACCAUUCGAUCCGUAAGGACUGGAUGGGGAAACCGGCGAACGGGUGCGUAACACGUGAGGAACCUGCCCCGAAGACCGGGAUAGCCCGAGGAAACUCGGAUUAAUACCGGAUACCCUCUUUGGACCACAUGGUCCGCUGAGGAAAUGGUCCGCCGCUUCGGGAUGGCCUCGCGGCCUAUCAGCUUGUUGGUGAGGUAACGGCUCACCAAGGCAAAGACGGGUAGCUGGUCUGAGAGGACGAUCAGCCACACUGGGACUGAGACACGGCCCAGACUCCUACGGGAGGCAGCAGCAGGGAAUAUUGCACAAUGGGCGAAAGCCUGAUGCAGCGACACCGCGUGCGGGAUGAAGGCCCUCGGGUUGUAAACCGCUUUCAGGAGGGACGAAAAUGACGGUACCUCCAGAAGAAGGCCCGGCCAACUACGUGCCAGCAGCCGCGGUAAUACGUACGGGCCAAACGUUGUCCGGAUUUAUUGGGCGUAAAGGGCUCCGUAGCCGUUCAGCCACUCGAUUGUGAAAGCCCGGGGCUCAAUCCCCGGACGCCUGUUCAAACUGUUGUGACUUCCAUCCGGUAAAAGUAAUUGGAAUUCCUCCGGCUCCGGCGGAAUGCUCUCCUAUACACCCGAACCCCAAUU
rnacentral:rRNA from 1 species